rnacentral:rRNA from 1 species
AACGAACGCUGGCGGCAUGCCUAACACAUGCAAGUCGAACGAAGGCUUCGGCCUUAGCGGCGCACGGGUGCGUAACGCGUGGGAAUCUGCCCCUCGGUUCGGAAUAACAGUUAGAAAUGACUGCUAAUACCGGAUGAUGACUUCGGUCCAAAGAUUUAUCGCCGAGGGAUGAGCCCGCGUAAGAUUAGGUAGUUGGUGGGGUAAAGGCCUACCAAGCCGACGAUCUUUAGCUGGUCUGAGAGGAUGAUCAGCCACACUGGGACUGAGACACGGCCCAGACUCCUACGGGAGGCAGCAGUGGGGAAUAUUGGACAAUGGGCGAAAGCCUGAUCCAGCAAUGCCGCGUGAGUGAUGAAGGCCUUAGGGUUGUAAAGCUCUUUUACCAGGGAUGAUAAUGACAGUACCUGGAGAAUAAGCUCCGGCUAACUCCGUGCCAGCCGCCGCCGUAA